GCCAGCAUGGUGUAGUGGUUUCAGCAUUGGACUACAACACUGGAGAUAAGGGUUCAAAUCCCUGUUUGGACA